GACGAACGCUGGCGGCGUGCUUAACACAUGCAAGUCGAGCGGUAAGGCCCUUUCGGGGGUACACGAGCGGCGAACGGGUGAGUAACACGUGGGUGACCUGCCCUCAGCUCUGGGAUAAGCCUGGGAAACCGGGUCUAAUACUGGAUAUGACUCCAUGACGCAUGUUGUGGGGUGGAAAGCCUUGUGCGGCUGAGGAUGGGCCCGCGGCCUAUCAGCUUGUUGGUGGGGUGANGGCCUACCAAGGCGACGACGGGUAGCCGGCCUGAGAGGGCGACCGGCCACACUGGGACUGAGACACGGCCCAGACUCCUACGGGAGGCAGCAGUGGGGAAUCUUGCGCAAUGGGCGAAAGCCUGACGCAGCGACGCCGCGUGGGGA
rnacentral:rRNA from 1 species